CGUGAGCGGCGGACGGGUGAGUAACGCGCGGGUAACCGUGCCUCAUAAAGGGGGAAGAAGGUUAGAAACGGCUGCUAAUACCGCAUAAGCGCACAGUACCGCAUGGUACGGUGUGAAAAACUCCGGUGGUAUGAGAUGGACCCGCGUCUGAUUAGGUAGUUGGUGGGGUAACGGCCUACCAAGCCGACGAUCAGUAGCCGACCUGAGAGGGUGACCGGCCACAUUGGGACUGAGACACGGCCCAA
rnacentral:rRNA from 1 species